GGACUACUAGGGUUUCUAAUCCCGUUCGCUCCCCACGCUGUCGUGUCUGAAUGUCGGAGCCAGGCCAGGAGGCCGCCUUCGCCUCUGGGGUUCUGCCGGAUCUCUACGCAUUUCACCACUACACCCGGCAUUCCACCUCCCUCUCCUGCUCCCUAGACCGGCAGUCUGGCAUAACCCGCCCAGGUUGAGCCUGGGGCUUUCAUACACCACUUACCCGCCCAUCUGCACACGCUUUACGCCCAGUAAAUCCGGAUAACGCUCGCCACCUACGUUUUACCGCGGCUGCUGGCAC
rnacentral:rRNA from 1 species